rnacentral:misc_RNA from 1 species
GAAAUGCGAUAAGUAAUGCGAAUUGCAGAAUUCAGUGAAUCAUCGAAUCUUUGAACGCACCUUGCGCUCCUUGGUAUUCCUUGGAGCAUGCCUGUUUGAGUAUCAUGAAAUCUUCAAAGUAAAUCUUUUGUUAACUCAAUUGGUUUCUACUUUGGUAUUGGAGGUCUUUGCAGCUUCACACCUGCUCCUCUUUGUUCAUUAGCUGGAUCUCAGUGUUAUGCUUGGUUCCACUCGGCGUGAUAAGUUAUCUAUCGCUGAGGACACUGUAAAAGGUGGCCAAGGUAAAUGCAGAUGAACCGCUUCUAAUAGUCCAUUGACUUGGACAAUACUUUUAUGAUCUGAUCUCAAAUCAGGUAGGACUACCCGCUGAACUUAAGC